CUUCCUGACUGCUCUUUGCUUGGGAAUAGUUUCAGCUACUAUAGAGCUUGAUCAAAGUUUAGAUGAACAGUGGAUCCAGUGGAAGGAGACACAUGGGAAGCAAUAUGGCAUGGUUGAAGAAUGCAGAAGAGCAGUGUGGGAGAAGAAUAUGAAAAUGAUUAUACAGCACAAUCAGGAAUACUAUCAAGGGAAACACCGCUUUUUGAUGGCAAUGAAUGGCUUUGGUGACAUGACCAAUGAAGAAUUCAGGCACAUGAUGAUUGGUCUUAAAAUGCAGAAGAGUGAGAAUGGGGAAGUUUUUAAAGUCCCCUUCUGUGCUGGCACCUCUGUACCUGUCGAGAGAAAACAGACG